AGAAAAAGAAUUUUCUGAAUAUCCAUUCUCUGGGUUCAGCCGUCACUGUUGGUCACUUAGCUGGGCUUUCCUCAGUUGUGACCCUAGAUCUUGGAAGUGAGGAGAUGGCUUCGCCCUCUAGACAGCCUCCCCUCGGAGGGUCAGGGCUGCUACGUGGGAGCCGUGCUCGUUCUUAUGGAAGCCUGGUACAAUCAUCCUGCUCCCCAGUGAGGGAAAGACGCCUGGAGCAUCAAUUGGAGCCUGGAGACACCCUGGCUGGAUUAGCACUCAAAUACGGGGUGACGAUGGAGCAGAUUAAACGUACAAACCGCCUUUAUACUAACGACUCCAUCUUCCUGAAGAAAACGCUCUACAUCCCCAUCCUGACAGAGCCCAGAGACCUGUUUAAUGGUUUAGAUUCUGAGGAGGAGGAAAAUGAUGGAGAGGAAGAGGUUCGCCCGAGUAAGGAUGAGAUUGGUUCAUCUUCAGGGAAGAGGAAGAAUCAAGGGUCAGCCUCGAGUCAGCCCAAAGGCACAGGCCUCCCACCUCACCAGGGAACCUCCACACCCAGCCAUGACCUUUCUGCCUCUGAUUUCCUUAAGAAGCUUGACUCACAGAUCAGCCUGUCGAAGAAGGCUGCUGCCCAGAAGCUGAGGAAAGGGGAAAGUGGGGUACCUGAGGAGGAUACAGGUCUCUACCCCAGCUCCCCUCGGAUGCAGCAGCGAGCAGUCCUGGGUCCUGUGCCACUCACCCGGACGUCUCGAACCCAGACACUGCGGGACCAGGAAGAUGAAAUCUUCAAACUCUGAUGUCCCCAGAACUGAUGAGCGCAGCAGAAUGUUUAAGGAACAGCUCAAGGAGGAGGAGUCUGAGGAUGUGGCCGUGACCGCAAUGAGGAGCAACCUCACCCUCUCCCUCAAAUGAAAACAGGAGUCCUCGCAGAGGGAGGAGAGCCAGGGGGCUCUCUCCCACAACUCAAUCACUCCAAUGGGAGCCUGCCAUCUUGAUUUGUUUCUGCCUUGCCCUGCAGACGGUCCUGCCCUCCUCAGUGGAGGUAAUUGUCCACAGGAGCCCGCUUUCCUUCUCGACUUGCCUUCUUCUUACCCAGCUCUCUGUUGCCCCGAUAUCUCCAACUAGGUCCCCAGUCCUCUCAGGGUAGCUAUGUCACUCACUCUUUUUGUCCCAGCCUCUACAUGAUCUCCGUGAACCUCUAGUCUAGCUAAGCUUUCACUUUGGGUCACUGUACUCCCAUGGCCGAAGAUACUUUAGAUCUGUAAAUCUCUACUCAUACCCCAUGUGCACCUCCAUGCCUCAGCUCUAGGCUCAACCCCCAUCCCAACCCCGGUCUCCCUCUCAGAUAACCUUGCCCAUCCACUGAAUACACUAAAAUGGUUCUGGGGAGAGAGGGGAGACCCAAGAAUUCUACGAGCGAGAGUUUCACAAAACAGAAAGAAAGGUGAGGGUGAAGAGGUUGGCUAUCUCAUCAGUGUCUCCCCGAAACCCGCCCCCUGCCAUUGUCAGUCUCACCUGCUGUGCGCUGGGUGCCGGUCUUGCUUUGGAUGUGUCUGAGAGCUAGCAGAAAGGAGAAGCUCCUUAGAGGCCCUUUGGUCUAGCCCCACCCCAAGCCCCGCCUACCUACUCUCCACCUCCGGUUCAUCACCACUGUCACCAAGAAGUCCAGUGUCCCAAGAGCAGCCUAGAAAUAAGACAAAGGUCAAAAGGAAUGGAAUUCUAUAGGAAGCACCGACUCUGAGGUGGCAAGGACAGAUUGCACACCUCCACCUAAACGGUCUGCUUCUUUCUUGCUGCCUAAUAUUCUUGUGGUACUGAGAACCCUGCAGAGUCCAGAUUUUUAAUGUGGAAGUCAGUGAGGAAAGUAUGGAAGAUCAUCGAGUGGUGUAGUAGAACAGCAUUACACAAGCGUCUUCAGGUCCUGGAAGGUAAGAUUAGCAUAGAACUGCCCCAAUACCGGCAGGGGGUAGGUGCCAAGGUUGGGGGCUGCUGAGCCAUACAUGACCAGUAGGUGUCAGCAUCGAGCCAAAACGCUAGAGGACCAAGUACAGCGUUUAAUAGUUGUGAAGGGCCUGGAAAAUGAAGGCCAUCUCCAGUGAGGCAAAACUACACCUUUAGUCCCGGCACUCUGGAGGCAGAGACAGGCGGAUCUCUGAGUUCAAGAUCAGUCUGGUCUACAGAGUGAGCUCCAGGCCAGCCAGGGCUGCAUAGUGAAACUCUUGGAAAAACAACCACCUAUCACUCCAGCUCCAGGAAUUCCAGUGUUCUCUUCUGGCCUCCAGAGUCAUCUGCAUAAACACAGUCCACAAACAUACACUUGGGUGCAGAGAGACACAAAUCUUUAAAAGGAGCUAAUUAUAUAGCUUUCUUCAGCUCGGGAUGAGAACCCGAAAAGAGGCCUUGGGAUUCAACAAUUUAAAAACUGUUCUGGGGUCCACCAGAGAGAUGGCUCAGUGACUUGAUCUUCCAGAUGUCCUGAGUUUUAUUUCCAGCACCUAUAUCUGGUGGUUCAUAACCACUAGUUAGUUCCAGUGGGUCUAAUACCUCUGGUCAGGCUGGAGAGAUGGCUCAGAGGUUAAAAGCACUGACUGCUCUUCAGAGGUCCUGAGUUCAAAUCCCAGCAACAGAUGGUGGCUCACAACCAUCUGUAAUGAGAUCUGAUGCCCUCUUCUGGUGUGUGUGAAGACAGUUACAAUGUACUCACAUAUAAAUAAUAUUAAAAAAAAUACCUCUGGUCUCCUUGGAUACCUACACACAUGUGGAGUACACAUACAUAACGUACAUAUAAACAAUAAAAUCUUUAAAAACAUA